rnacentral:rRNA from 1 species
CGCUGGCGGCGUGCUUAACACAUGCAAGUCGAACGGAAAGGCCCUGCUUUUGUGGGGUGCUCGAGUGGCGAACGGGUGAGUAACACGUGAGUAACCUGCCCUUGACUUUGGGAUAACUUCAGGAAACUGGGGCUAAUACCGGAUAGGAGCUCCUGCUGCAUGGUGGGGGUUGGAAAGUUUCGGCGGUUGGGGAUGGACUCGCGGCUUAUCAGCUUGUUGGUGGGGUAGUGGCUUACCAAGGCUUUGACGGGUAGCCGGCCUGAGAGGGUGACCGGCCACAUUGGGACUGAGAUACGGCCCAGACUCCUACGGGAGGCAGCAGUGGGGAAUAUUGCACAAUGGGCGGAAGCCUGAUGCAGCAACGCCGCGUGCGGGAUGACGGCCUUCGGGUUGCAAACCGCUUUCGCCUGUGACGAAGCGUGAGUGACGGUAAUGGGUAAAGAAGCACCGGCUAACUACGUGCCAGCAGCCGCGGUGAUACGUAGGGUGCGAGCGUUGUCCGGAUUUAUUGGGCGUAAAGGGCUCGUAGGUGGUUGAUCGCGUCGGAAGUGUAAUCUUGGGGCUUAACCCUGAGCGUGCUUUCGAUACGGGUUGACUUGAGGAAGGUAGGGGAGAAUGGAAUUCCUGGUGGAGCGGUGGAAUGCGCAGAUAUCAGGAGGAACACCAGUGGCGAAGGCGGUUCUCUGGGCCUUUCCUGACGCUGAGGAGCGAAAGCGUGGGGAGCGAACAGGCUUAGAUACCCUGGUAGUCCACGCUGUAAACGGUGGGUACUAGGUGUGGGGUCCAUUCCACGGGUUCCGUGCCGUAGCUAACGCUUUAAGUACCCCGCCUGGGGAGUACGGCCGCAAGGCUAAAACUCAAAGGAAUUGACGGGGCCCCGCACAAGCGGCGGAGCAUGCGGAUUAAUUCGAUGCAACGCGUAGAACCUUACCUGGGUUUGACAUGGAUCGGGAGUGCUCAGAGAUGGGUGUGCCUCUUUUGGGGUCGGUUCACAGGUGGUGCAUGGCUGUCGUCAGCUCGUGUCGUGAGAUGUUGGGUUAAGUCCCGCAACGAGCGCAACCCUUGUUCACUGUUGCCAGCACGUUAUGGUGGGGACUCAGUGGAGACCGCCGGGGUCAACUCGGAGGAAGGUGGGGAUGACGUCAAGUCAUCAUGCCCCUUAUGUCCAGGGCUUCACGCAUGCUACAAUGGCUGGUACAGAGAGUGGCGAGCCUGUGAGGGUGAGCGAAUCUCGGAAAGCCGGUCUCAGUUCGGAUUGGGGUCUGCAACUCGACCUCAUGAAGUCGGAGUCGCUAGUAAUCGCAGAUCAGCAACGCUGCGGUGAAUACGUUCCCGGGGCUUGUACACACCGCCCGUCAAGUCAUGAAAGUUGGUAACACCCGAAGCCGGUGGCCUAACCGUUGUGGGGGAGCCGUCGAAGGUGGGACUGGUGAUUAGG